AUGGGGAUAUAGCUCAAUGGUAGAGUACUUGCCUAGCAAGUGUGAGGCCUUGGGUUCAAUCCCCAGCACCAUA
rnacentral:tRNA from 1 species